GGAAUCUUGCGCAAUGGGCGAAAGCCUGACGCAGCAACGCCGCGUGCGGGAUGAAGGCCUUCGGGCUGUAAACCGCUUUCAGCAGGAACGAAAAUGACGGUACCUGCAGAAGAAGGAGCGGCCAACUACGUGCCAGCAGCCGCGGUGACACGUAGGCUCCAAGCGUUGUCCGGAUUUAUUGGGCGUAAAGAGCUCGUAGGCGGUUUAGUAAGUCGGGUGUUAAAACUCUGGGCUCAACCCGGAGAGGCCAUCCGAUACUGCUGUGACUUGAGUUCAGGAGGGGAGCGGGGAAUUCCUAGUGUAGCGGUGAAAUGCGCAGAUAUUAGGAGGAACACCGGUGGCGAAGGCGCCGCUCUGGACUGAAACUGACGCUGAGGAGCGAAAGCAUGGGUAGCAAACAGGAUUAGAUACCCUGGUAGUCCAUGCCGUAAACGGUGGGCACUAGGUGUGGGUUCCAACUAACGGGAUCCGCGCCGUCGCUAACGCAUUAAGUGCCCCGCCUGGGGAGUACGGUCGCAAGACUAAAACUCAAAUGAAUUGACGG
rnacentral:rRNA from 1 species